GUCAGCUACAAGGCUCACCGGCGAUACCUUGCUAACAAAGCCAUGAAAGGACCUGUACUGCUAAGUCCGGGAGCUGGAGAUUCACGCUGAUCCGGAAUCCGUAA
rnacentral:rRNA from 1 species